AAGGAACAAUAAAAAACACUUAAAAUUUCCCAAAUAAAACUUUUCAUGCAUUAAAUGUGUUACUUGACCCAAAGAAGAAGGCCCCAGGAGGAGAGCCAAACCCUCUGGCCAUCUCCACACCCGAUAACACCUAUGUAUGAGAAUAUGGGCUGAGGGCACACCAACUCCAGUCUCAAGCUCAGGAUACAAGCCAAUUGGAAAGAAACCAGAGAAGCAGCAGAGGAUGAGCGACCAGCAGACAGCAGGGUCAUCUCUGGGUGAGGACAAGGUCAGAGGUCAGAGGGUUAGUGGGCAGUGGCUGGGUCGAUGUUAGGAAACAGAAGAGGAAGGAGAAAAAACAGAAGAAGAAAGUGGAGGUUAGUUUCAGCAGGAUGUUUUUUUGACCUUUUAAUUAUUGUAAAAACAAUGACAGAAGAUCCAAUUGGUCCCCUUCAGAAAGCAGAGAGACCUGCUUCACCUCUGGACCCAACCUGAACCAAGCCUGGACCCAGUCUGAACAUAUCCUGGACCUUCAUGUGUUCUAAGAGUAGAUUUCCAUCUGCUCUGGGUUCAGGUUUAGGAGGACGAUUCGAUAUUCUGGUUGACAAAUGCUACAGUGUAACAGUGUGGUAACCACACUCUUAUAUGGAGAUCUACCUGAAAACACUUUGCUAUCUUCUUAUAGCCUUCUCCUGCUUUGUGGGCAUCAAUUAUUUAAAUUUUCAGAGCUAGGCAGCUGCUUAGAGAAGCCCAUGCCUGCUAAAUUUUGGGACAAGGUUU